AAACCGAUGGGAUGAGUGUGGAGGAGCUCACAGACAAGUUUUUGGAGCUGCUGCCGUUUGCAGGGCAAACCUUAGACACAGAUCAGAAGAAGGCAAGGAGGUAUAUCAUGAAGCUUGACUCCAGGUAUUCCUCCUUAAUUCAGUCAGCAGAAAGGGAGAGCUUCCAUGCCAUAGUGGAUAUGGCCCGGAAAAUGGAGGCUAGCGCAAUCAUAGAGGGAAG
rnacentral:lncRNA from 1 species